rnacentral:lncRNA from 1 species
UUCAUUAGAGGAAACAGGAUGGGUCUGGUUGGUCAGACGAAGCAAGGAGGCUGGUGUUGAUUGUUUCCAUGAUGUCAGAAGGAGACUAGGACACUGGAGCUCACAGCUUAUAUAGUCUUAAUUAAAGUUAUCUUCUGCUGCUUCCUGUGGAUAUGUUUACAUAUUACAUGUUUACUGUUUACAAUGUGUGUGUGUGUGUGUGUGUGUGUGCAUGCUUGCAUGCGUGUAUGUGGUUUUCCUGGUCUGAGGGAAACUAAACCAGGCUUUAGACCAGGCUUUAGACCAGGCUUUAAACCAGGCUUUAGACCAGGCUUCAGACCAGGCUUUAGACCAGGCUUUAAACCAGGCUUUAGACCAUGCUUUAGCUCAGUGAGUUAACAUUGUAUUGCAAUGCGAAAGCAGGUUCAAAUCCAGUUAGUCACAUACGUGUGUGUGUACCUAUGUUUGUUUGUUCAUGCGUGCAUGAGUCUGUCUGUGUGAGUCUUGUGUAUCCCCACAAGGUUAGCUAUACAAGACUGUGUGUGUGUGUAUGUUGGGGUGUCAGUGUAAGUAUGUGUGAGUGUGUGGAUAGAGUCCAGUGUGAGUGCAUAGAGUUGUUAGUGCAAAAAAGGGGUCAAUGCAGGUAGCCCAAGAACCCCUUUGAUUAGCUAUUUAGAAGUUUUGUUUAGAAGUCUUAAGGCUUGGGGGUAGAAGCAGUUCAGGGUCCUGUUGGUUCCAGACUUGGUGCAUCGGUACCGCUUGCCAUGCGGUAGCAGAGAGAAUACUCUGUGGUUGUUGUCUUGGCACCAAACUGCUAAGUCUCUG